rnacentral:rRNA from 1 species
AGAGUUUGAUUCUGGCUCAGAUUGAACGCUAGUGGUAUGCUUAACACAUGCAAGUCGAACGGCAGCAUCAUACAGGGUAACCUGUGUGGAUGGCGAGUGGCGGACGGGUGAGUAAUACGUAAGAAUCUACCUUGGUGAGGGGGGCAACUUCGAGAAAUCGAAGCUAAUUCCGCAUAAUGUUGUAGAACCAAAGGCAGGGGAUCCAUAAGGACCUUGUGCACUGAGAUGAGCUUACGGCGUAUUAGCUAGUUGGUGGGGUAAAGGCCUACCAAGGCGAUGAUACGUAGCGGGUCUUACGAGGAUGGCCCGCCACACUGGGACUGAGACACGGCCCAGACUCCUACGGGAGGCAGCAGUGGGGAAUAUUGGACAAUGGGGGAAACCCUGAUCCAGCAAUACCACGUGUGUGAAGAAGGCCUUCGGGUUGUAAAGCACUUUAGGAGGGGAAGAAGGAAUUUGUACUAAUAAUAUAAGCUCUUGACGGUACCCUCAGAAUAAGUACCGGCUAACUCUGUGCCAGCAGCCGCGGUGAGACAGAGGGUACGAGCGUUAAUCAGAAUGAUUGGGCGUAAAGGGCGUGUAGGUGGUAAUUUAGGUUUGGUGUGAAAGCUCUCGGCUCAACCGAGAAAGUGCACCAAAUACCGGGUUACUAGAGUGAGAGAGAGGGCUGUGGAAUUUUCGGUGUAGCGGUGAAAUGUGUAGAUAUCGAAAGGAACAUCAGUGGCGAAGGCGACAGCCUGGCUCUAAACUGACACUGAGGCGCGAAGGCGUGGGGAGCAAACAGGAUUAGAUACCCUGGUAGUCCACGCAGUAAACGAUGUAAACUGGCUGUACGUGAGAUAUUCAUGUGUAGCGAAGCUAACGCGUUAAGUUUACCGCCUGGGAAGUACGGUCGCAAGACUAAAACUCAAAGAAAUUGACGGGGGCCCGCACAAGCGGUGGAGCAUGUGGUUUAAUUCGAUGCAACUCGAAAAACCUUACCUACUCUUGACAUCCUUAGAAUCUAACCGAGAGGUUAGAGUGCCGAAAGGAACUAAGAGACAGGUGCUGCAUGGCUGUCGUCAGCUCGUGUCGUGAGAUGUAUGGUUAAGUCCUGUAACGAGCGCAACCCUUUUCCCUUGUUGCUAACAGGUAAUGCUGAGAACUCUAGGGAGACUGCCGGUGAUAAGCCGGAGGAAGGUGAGGAUGAUGUCAAGUCAUCAUGGCCCUUAUGAGUAGGGCAACACACGUGCUACAAUGGGGCACACAAUGAGUCGCCAACUCGCGAGAGUGAGCUAAUCUCCCAAAGUGUCUCGUAGUCCGGAUUGGAGUCUGCAACUCGACUCCAUGAAGUUGGAAUCGCUAGUAAUCGCAAAUCAGCACGUUGCGGUGAAUACGUUCUCGGGCCUUGUACACACCGCCCGUCACACCAUGGGAGUGGAUUAUACCAGACGUCGGUUGACUAACCUUUUGGAGGUCGCCGCCCACGGUAAGGUUCAUGACUGGGGUGAAGUCGUAACAAGGUAGCCGUACCGGAAGGUGCGG